ACCGCUCAUGUCAUCUUCCUCUUUCCCUUCAGCCACCUGCCCCCUCAGACAACAGCGCCUGCCCUCUUUGCAGUGGCAAAUGAUCCAGCCUGCCAGCGACUCUGCAGGGGCCUUUGCAGUCUGCGCAGGCGAGUUGCGUCUUCCUGAGUUUUUUUGUCCUGAACUUUUCUACCUGUUAUUGACAAGCCUCAUACAGCUAGAUUAGAGUGGGCAAAUGCAGCAGCCGAGGACACGAUCCCUACCCUGUGCCUGAAAGUCUCCACAAGCUUUUCUUCCCCUUUCUUACAGGAACUGGUCAUACGCUGAUGGGUUAUCUGAGGCCUGAGAUGGGUGGGAGGAAACUUUCACCCAAAUCUCUGCCUGAGCGAAAUGGCCUGGAACUCACUCUAAAUCAUCUACUGAAAUCCUGGCACAGAAAGAAUGUAUGGAAAAGGGCAGAAUUCGAAUGCCAGGGCCAUUAGCCUGGGCAAGUAGGAGAGCUUCGAAGGGGGUCCCUGCACCGUUGUGGAUUCCAGGCGAGUCUGGCAGACCACCCAGAAACUUGCAUAAGGCACACGGCAGCAGCAGCAGCGGCAUCCCAGCUCGACACGUCGGCUGCAUGACCAGGCAAUUUUCUUGGUCCUCAGCCGGAGCCUGGAGCCUCCCAUUUGUCUCCUGGGAGGACCUCACAUACCCUAGUGAUAGUGACUGCACAAUGAACACUUGCUGAGUUAAAUGACUGAAAGGAUCUAUGCUAGAUCAGAUGUCUAGGGGAUGGCUGAGACAAGAGAGGCCACAAAGGUGAGUCAUUCACUCAUUUUUCAACAGAUGUGAGUCCUGUUCUUUGGGGUCUUACAUUUUGGGAAGAUGAGAAUUGACUGGUGUUUUUCAAGUUUAGGGAAGAGUAGAUGUUCACAGAGAAAAGAUUCUUCAACCUCAGGGAGUGAUCAGCAGAAUAUUCAGAGGUAACCAGUAAGACAAGUCUAAUUCCGAGCAUGAAUAAGCUUCUCCUUAAAGAGGAAAUUGAACUGAAGAUCACGAAGAAUAACUAGAUGACUCACCGAUCAAAAUAGGAAGUUCUCUCUGGUAAGGAAGACGGUGGCAUUGAGGUGGCAAAAAACACAAAGAUCCUCCUCAAACACUUACUACAUAGUAGACUUCACUCUUGCUGCUUGGGCUACUGUCUCCAGAUUGGAAGACCUACCCACUGACCAGGAGUUGAUAGAGUUAGUGAAGCAUUGUAUUAAAAAAGACCCUGGGCCCUGGAGCCACCACCUUGCCCUAAACAAAGGCUCCCUCAAGUAUCAGCCCUAUGAACUUGGGCAUUUGUAAAGUAGAGAUAGUAACAGUUCCUUAUGCACUUCGAUAUUAUGAAGACUGAGAGAUCAUAGCUGUAAGUGCAUAGAACAGUGCCUGGCUUGUAAUAAGCACUCACUGUAGGUUAGCUAUUUUUAUUGUGCUUCUAUUGCUGACUCUAAUUGUUUGCAUAUUUGAACUGAAGAAUCCUCAGUGAGUUUUAGAAAGAAGACAAGAUGCUUAUAUUUCACUUGAGUAUGAAAUAAGAGUAUAAAUCAUACAUCUUACAUCGCAUAACAACUUUAUUCACAAGAUGACAGUUCUUUCAUCAGUCCAAGGACUGGCUUCUCUAAACUGCCACAUAAUUGUCUUCUGCAGUGUAACUCCACAUGGACCAUUAUGUUUUAUGUUUAUGGACUUUCACCCAAGACUUUAAUAGCAGCAAUAGAAUGAAUCUGCUAAAAUCACACGUUUCAUUUUCUUUUACUUUCGGACUGUUGGAACUAUCAGAACCCAUGAUCGACUCUAACAUGGAAAGUAGCUAUUUCUUUAUUAAGGCCAAUGCUUAUUUAAUCCAUUUUUUCUAUUUAAAACAUCAGUAUAUGUCUUUUUAAAAUGUAUACAUGAAAGAAAA